GGAAUAUAAAAAUCUGUUUCUUAACUUUUAACUAAAAAAACUAAGAACCGGUUCUUAAAUAAGAUAUUUAAGAACCGGUUCUUAUCAUUUUUAGUUAAAAAUUAAGAGACAUGUUCUUAUAUUCC
rfam:Brassica oleracea var. oleracea cultivar TO1000 chromosome C4, whole genome shotgun sequence